rnacentral:tRNA from 1 species
GGAGAGAUGGCUGAGCGGAUUAAAGCGACGGAUUGCUAAUUCGUUGUAUGAAUUAUUUGUACCGAGGGUUCGAAUCCCUUUCUUUCCA